AUGGUUUGUCUUAAUCAUGAGUACAAAAUAUUUCUGAUUUUGUUAUCCUGCACUAUUGCGUAUCCAGACCUUCAUGCAUUAUCUUAAUAGAAGAAUGUGAAACCAACUCAUACAUAUAACGCAUGAUCGGAAUGACGCCGUAAAUACCCAUAUGUCCUGCACUCUGCAUUCUACAAAUUUAAUCCAAGAAACGUAAAAAUGGCUGUUCAUCGGUGCCUGUCUUUAUCUAAAUUAUAGUCAUUUGGUUUAAGUGACUUGUUAAUUACCAAUUAUUGCAAUUUUAAUGUUGAACUAGAAUACUGUAAU